GACGAACGCUGGCGGCGUGCUUAACACAUGCAAGUCGAACGGAAAGGCCCUGCUUGCAGGGUACUCGAGUGGCGAACGGGUGAGUAACACGUGGGUGAUCUGCCCUGCACUUCGGGAUAAGCCGGGGAAACUGGGUCUAAUACCGGAUAGGAGCCAUUUUUAGUGUGAUGGUUGGAAAGUUUUUUUCGGUGUAGGAUGAGCUCGCGGCCUAUCAGCUUGUUGGUGGGGUAAUGGCCUACCAAGGCGGCGACGGGUAGCCGGCCUGAGAGGGUGGACGGCCACAUUGGGACUGAGAUACGGCCCAGACUCCUACGGGAGGCAGCAGUGGGGAAUAUUGCACAAUGGGCGCAAGCCUGAUGCAGCGACGCCGCGUGGGGGAUGACGGCCUUCGGGUUGUAAACUCCUUUCGCUAGGGACGAAGCUUUUUGUGACGGUACCUAGAGAAGAAGCACCGGCUAACUACGUG
rnacentral:rRNA from 1 species